rnacentral:ncRNA from 1 species
AGGAAUGGGUAGAGGAUCGAAGAGGCCAGGGAGUUUUUAAUGUUCUACCUUAGCUUGCUGACAGAUUUGACACUUGUUGACAAAAGAUUCCACUGAUUGAAAGAUUGCCUCAGUUCGGAUUGUUCUCUGCAACUCGGGAACAUGAAGUUGAAAUCGCUAGUAAUCGCGGAUCAGCAUGCCGCGGUGAAUAUGUACCCGCUAGACC